CGGGUGAGUAACGCGUGAGGAACCUGCCUCAAAGAGGGGAACAACAGUUGGAAACGACUGCUAAUACCGCAUAAGCCCACGGCUCGGCAUCGAGCAGAGGGAAAAGGAGUGAUCCGCUUUGAGAUGGCCUCGCGUCCGAUUAGCUGGUUGGUGAGGUAACGGCCCACCAAGGCGACGAUCGGUAGCCGGACUGAGAGGUUGAACGGCCACAUUGGGACUGAGACACGGCCCAG
rnacentral:rRNA from 1 species